rnacentral:lncRNA from 1 species
ACCCAACCAAAGUUUUGCACCAAACAAAGAUAACAAACUGGUUGCAGAACUUGAUAUGAAACUUUCAGCACUUGUGCACAUAAACCAACUAAUCUUUCAGACUUUCUCUCUGAACCUUUCUCAACUUUUUUUUUUCACUUCACUUUUUUUUGCACUUUCUUUUCUUUUUUUUUGACACACUUUUUCUAUAUAUAGAACUAAAACAGGGAUCAGAUUAUGAUAAUUGCACAACUAAAGGCAGAAAUAAAACAACAACCAGUAGCUAGAUAGGAUCAAAGUUAACACAAAUGAUGAUAUAGGCUAUAGAGUUUUUUUGUGGGGAUUUUUAGAUAUAAAAGAGGCACAAAGAACACGCGAAGGAUAAAUCAUCAGCAACUAAAACAAAGACUCUAAUGGACUGUGACUUAACAGAACUCACUAAAAUAACAGAUUGAAACAGAGGUCUAAGCAAUAUAUUUUUCUGGCUUUUUGGUGGAUAGGACGAAGCAAAAUAUAUAUGUAGCUAGGGAUAAAAUUCCUACCGUGGUAACGAAAGCUUUGAUACCAGAUGAUGCGACACAUUGUCCCGAUCUUCACGACGUAGGAUGAACACCGAUAACUAGCUGAAGAACAGCUGGAUAACUUGCUGCAAGCAGCGAUAACUAGUGCAACAUGGCAAAUAAAACUCGAAGCCAACCACCGUUUUUAACCGGCAACCUGAAUCAAGGAUUCGCGCAACCACACUCUCAAGGAACCAACCAACACAGCCUACAAUCAAUCAAGGAAUACUUUGAAGGGUGUAGGAGCACCAAUUGGGAGCAGAUGAAGCCGCCGCCUAUCUAAUCCCACGAAGAAAUCACAAGAGCAAAGGGGUAGAGAUCACUCUCUGAAUUUGUUAGCACAUAGCUGAACAAAGGGGUUCUGUAUUUCAAUUAUCAAAAGUCUAGGAUUACAUUGAGUCUUAGGGGGUAUUUAUACUAGCAACAGCCCUGCUAGAUACGUAUGAAAACGAAAUAGAGUUUCUGAGGGAAGACAAUAUGAAAGGUCCCCUCGAAAUGGUUUCCCGAAGUGGCUUCGUGUGACUGUUGGUCUCCAGAGCAGUUUCUAAUAAACUGACCAUAACAUUUUAUUGGGAAGUCCAAAUGAUGAACCGUUUCUUGGGUGUGAAACUAGACUCAAAGGGCUUUCCAGGAAUUUAUGCCAACCAGCACGAUACAUUGUAGAUUGGUACAGUUUUACUUGGCAAGUUGUACUAACAUUCUGUCACGACAUACUAUUGACCUUCUGAGUAGUCUGUACUAAUUUUGGUUUGAAAGCAAUAUGGUGUAUCCAAACAGGUCGCCACUAGAUUCAUUGGAAAGUAGACUCGACAGGAUUUCCAACAUGUCCUCAUGGACCUUCAUAGUUUUUGUGACUGAAAAGUUAUGAAGAUUUCUUUGCACUGGUCCGUUUUUGACUUCCACUGGUCCGUUUUUGACAUCUUCUAGAACAUGCACUGCUCCGUUCUUCAGGUCUGAUUCGUCCUUCUCUUCUUCUAUAUACAUGAGUACACUCAAGGUGCAACACUUAGGUAGUAUAUAAUUCUUAUUAAUGUUAAAAUGAAUCUCACAAAGUAGCGCGUGGACCUCUUGUUGUAGCUUUUUUGCACGACUACGUGUAAUCGGUCCAUCGAUGACUUGGGCUGGUGUCAGUGUAGGUGAAACUUGAGUGGGUGUAGCUUGACUUGGAGCUUGUGGCAUCUUGCUUGGUGGUGUGGUCAUAUCAGAAAAGCUUUCCGAGCAGGAAUUUACUGGCCGUCCGCUAUAGCCGACGCCGAGAUGCUGAUCCGGUGAUAUGAGGGUUGUCAGUUCUUUGCCAAGAGGACUCAUAUACCCGCUCACUAAAUCCAAACGAUACCAUCAUCUUGGCCAUUCGCCUGCUAGGGCCUAGAAAUGAUUGGGCCAUUCAAACCUGCUCCCGACAAUUUCAAGUUCGUAUUUGUGUUGGUCAACAAGUUCUCCAAGUGGAUUGAGUACAUGCCAUUGAUCAAAGCAACUUCAGAAAAAGCUAUAGAAUUUCUCAAUCAGAUCAUACACCGAUUCGGGGUUCCUAAUAGCAUAAUCACUGACUUAGGUACUCAGUUCACUGACACUACAUUGUGGGACUUGUGUGAUGACAGAGGCAUAGUCAUAAAGUACGUGUCGAUAGCUCAUCCCUGAGCCAAUGGACAAGUCGAGCGAGCCAAUGGGACAAUUGUAGAUGCCUUAAAAAAGAGGCUAUACAAUGAAAACGACAAAGCAUCGGGAAGGUGGAUGAAAGAAUUGCCAGCCGUGGGGGUCUCUGAACACAGCCUAGUCGGAACACUGGUGUAUCCCCCUAUUUCAUGGUAUACGGGGCCGAGGCGGUGCUUGUGGUAGAACCUCCUAAGUGUUUGGGUCCACCGACACCUAUCAUUGUCCUAAGGACCUCUGACGGUGAUGCCGGGGAUCCUCCCACUUUAGAAGCCCGAUGAGCACCCCAGGAUGCCCAUCUCACUACUACCUAUGGCGUAACAACCAGGCUCAUCAUAACCACCGGCGAUGGUCAAUUAACGAGAACUUCUUCUUCUCGCCCUUUCAGGAUAGCAAGUGGCCACCUUAACACCAGGAUCAUUCGUUGCGAAGACAUUGCAUUAUCACCAAUGAUAUAUAACCAAAAUAGCAUUUCGAAGUAAAACCGCGGAAGCAUUAGAUAACUUAAUUUACAAAAGUAGUUCUUCCAAGUAGUAAAGUGUUAUUACAAGCCAGGUCCAGCAGAGCAACUUAAACCAUAGUACACAGAUUACAAAUUUACAGACCCUACCCAUGGGUCACGCUCACUCUUCCUCGUCGUCAACCUCGAUGACAGUCACACAACAGGGUCUGAAACAAGUCGGCUCCUGAGCUUCACCUGCAACAGGGGUUAUAAAACCCUGAGUACAGGAGUACUCAACAAGACUUACCUGGUAGAAAAAGAGAACUUAGGAAUGCAGGCUUAGGGUAGACAAGGGGUGGUUGAGCAAGGAGCCAAAUCGUUUUGCUGAAAAGCUUACUAAUAGUGCAUCCUUACUUUCGUGUUUUACCCAUGAGUUCCUCUCCUCAAGAGGCCGAGGAGUUUGAGGACAGUCUAUCUAGUUGCUCCUCAAAGACAAGUCUGUAAGUUCCUAGUCCUUGAUCAAAGUAUUAUCCAUCCAACGGCCAUAGCUUCAUGUCACUCUAAGUCUGGAAAUUGGGAUUCAAACCUCAUUUGACAUUUCCCCCUUUUUCAUUUUACAACUUAGUUGCAUAUUUAACUACGAUGAGGGUCGAAGGAAUUGACUCUCCCAAUCGGGGAGCAACGACGAUUCAAAUCGCUUAGCAAUCCAGCUGGAGUUCCUAACCACUCGACGUAUGUAGAACCAAAUAUUGCAUAUGUCAGUAGGGUACAUGGCACCCGAGAGCACAGUACCCCACCAUCCAGCCCAUUUGCCAGUAGGGUACACGCUACUCUCGCCAUCGCUCCACGCCUAGUGCGCGAGUAGCCGUUCGCGUCGAGGGAUCACAAGACUGCGCUUACCGAGGGCAAGUGGUUAGUACUAUAAAUUCUCAACCCAGUAGGCCAUCAACGGAACGGUCCUUAAUCGAUACAGUUUGAGACACUACUUUAAGACUCCAUUAUUAAAGCAAGUCCAUCGAUCGGUCUCAAGUUGAAACAUCAUUGACCAUAAGAGUAUUCCACAACAACCCUUCAAACUUUCUUGUUUGAAAACCAAUCUAGUAGCAGGGCUAAGCAUCACUACGCAAUUUUAAAAUAAAACAUGUGCCAAGGACAAGAUAACAAAUAUCAAGGUAGUAAAUGCAACAAUUAGGUUAACCCAAUUCUCAACUACGUAAUGCAGCAUUUUCAAUUCAUAAGUGAUAAAAGAUUUAAAAUAUUCAAGGAGGGGUUAAUGCAUCCGGGGCUUGCCUUGGUUGUAGAGCUGAGUGGGUUCCUCGGAGACUUCCCAAGUCUCGGAUCCUACUUCCUCGAACGGAGCACCGACCUCAGGGUUCGGUUGAACGGUCGCUCCUUCGGUCACAUGUACUAUAUGCAAAAUGAUGGAUGCUCAUGAUAUGCAUAUGACAAAUAUUUAAGAAGGACCGAGUUGAAUACAACUUUCCUUCUCGGUGCAAGGACAGGUUAAACAGUAAUUAAAGUUGUUUAUCAUUUUAGUGUUUUUACCCAAGAGGUUGCAUGAGUAAAUUAAGAUUUCCCUUAAUUCAUAAUUAUCCUUAAUUAACUAAUUAUUAAUCCUUUUUACCUUAAUUGAUUCUUAAUUAGGUAUUAAUUAUAGUAAUUAAGCAUUAAUAUUAAACAAUAAUUAAAUGCCAAAGGUCAUUAAGGUUAAUGACCUUAGGUCAUCAGACAAUCCCAAAAGCACUCAAAUCCUAAUUUGAGAGAUUAAGCUAAUUAAUACUUAUUUAUUUAGGAAUUAUUACUAAAUUACUAAUUAAGGGUAUACUAAUAUUUUAUUCAAACAUUAUCCAAAUGCCACCAAAUUUUGUGUGAAGCCAGGGAAUAAUAUUCCGAGACAUCCCACAAAUUUGGUGAUUUUUGGACAUUUCCAUAAAUUAUUAAAAUUCAUGGAAGUUUUAUUUACUAAUUAAAGGAUACAAUUUUUUACCUACAUAAAAAUUACCAUAAAAUGAAACCUAGUAUUUUUCAUGUGUUCUACUCACUGCAUAGAACAUAUCCAAAAAUUUUCACCAUUUUUAGACCAGCAUACAAUUUUCUACACAAAUUCAAACAUAAAGCAUAUUUAAGACAAAAAGGAAAAGAAAAACAGCACUGUGCUAAUGCGGCCGGCCCACUUAGCCUCGGCCCAAGCCGGCCCACAGGCUUCCCGUGUCACGCGCGGGCGCUGCUCCUCUCGCGUGGCCACUGACGGGCGGGUCCCACCCGUCAGAUCCUUCUCCCACCUCUCGCCGCGGCUCCGGCGAGCUCAAGCAUGCCGCCGAUGAGCUCCCGGCCUCCGCGGUAGGGUGAGUUAGCACCCUCGGCUCUCUGCACAUCUCCUGUGGCGCUCAGACCACGGGCUACCCUCCCCUAACCCCCUUGCUCGCGUCGAAGGCGGACGGCAACACAGGCCGCACGAGCACCGACCUCCACAUGCCAGUAGAACGUGAACCGAAGAGCGCAUAAGCAUGAGUGGCUCACCGCGACUUUAGUGAAGCAAACAGCGGUGGUUGAGAAGCUUGGAGAAGAGCUGGCCGCGGUGAGGAGUUCACGGCGGUGAUCUCGGCCGGAAUCAGAGAAGGACGGCUCGGGUUGGGGCUAUAAGGGGUUAGAGCGCGCGAUGGAAGGUCCAGGGAGUAGCUGAGCUCAAGGCGAAGCUCUAGAGGUGCGAUGGGGGCUCGGACAGGGAGCAGGCGAGGCAGAUUUUGCAAGCGCAGCAAGGUCGUCGGCGUUGAGCAAGAAGAGAAAAAGAGGGUCGCAGCGGGGUGUUAAUCACGGGGAGAAGUGGAUGAGGACGCCAGCGGCUCGUCCACUUCACUGCGACCGCCAGCAAGCGAGCAGCUGCGUGGCCAGGUGCGUGGCGGCGCGCGCGAAGGCGGCGCCUGCCUGCCCUGCGGCCGCGCUGAACAGAGCUCGUGAUCCUCAUCGGAUCACUGUAGCCGUCCAUAUUCCCUCCUUUUGUUGUUUUGCAAAAUUCAUCCAAAAUUUGCACUGAAGUCAAAUUUCCACCAAAACGAAAGCUGCUCAGAAUUUUAAAAGCUACAAAACAUCUUCUAGUGCUCAGAGCUGAUUCUGAGUGGAAGAGUGUGAAUUUGUCAAAACAGUUUGAAUUUCAAAAUCCCAAUUUGGGGAAAAUUCCAAUUUGAAUUGGGGCAGAUUAGAAUUUGCAAAAUUUCUUUUCAUUUUUCUGAAUAACUUGAAAAAUUCCCAAAAUGAAAGUUGUUCAAUUUGUUGAGCUCUACAACUUUCAUGUUGGUCGCUUUUCAAGAUUCCAAACAGAUUUUGAAUUGGGGAUUCAAUUUGGAAAAGGGAACAAUUCCUGGAAAUCUGUAUUUUCAAAAUUACUUUGAAUUUGGUAUUGAAACUUCAAAAACUCAAAACACCAAAGUUGUACAUCUUGGCAAGAUCUACAACUUUGCUUUUGAACUCAACCUCAAAUUUUGCGUGGUUUUUAAAUUGCACAAAAGGGGGCAAAACUAGGGUUUUAAAAUCAGUGUCCCCCCCCCAUUUUCUCGGAAAUCUUCAACACAAGGGAUUUCACAACCAAGCUAGCAUCAUUGCACAAUAUAAACACACUUUAGUUUCGUAAGCACAAGAAACCAAAGUAAACUUGUUUUAAUUUGAUGCAUCAAGUGGUGCUUAAUAAAUAUGCUAUGCAAUGCUUACGAUGUCAUGAUCAAGUUUUAGUAACCGUAACAUCAGAGAUGUUACAGCGCUCCCCUCCGAUAUAGUGUUCGGAUCUCCAAGAGUCGAGCAUUUCAACUAGUCUUCAGUAGACCAUGCUAGAGAACAUGAAAUCAAUUGCACAGAGGAGAAACGGUUAGAUUCUUGCCUCCGAACAACAAAGUACCUCGAAGCUAUGCGACGAUAUUACAACAAGAACAUCAAAGAGCUCUCCUUCAUGGUCGGCGAUCUGGUGCUCAAAUGGAAAACAAGCUAGGACGCAAUGCACAAGCUAUCCACACUGUGGGAGGGACCUUUCAUGGUCGCCGAAGUCACGCGUCCCACCUCUUACAGACUGGCUUACCCAGACGGAACAAGUCUGCCCAACUCCUGGCACAUAGACAAACUACUGUGUUUUUACCCAUAGAAGCAGUACAUCUUACCUAUAUCUUUUUCCUUAUGAAUAAUAAUAAGUUUUGUUUUUUGCUCUAUAUCUCUUCAUAUGCAGACUAUUCGACAAAAACGACAUUGCUUGUUCUCGACACGCCACAUAGUAAAAUCAAACUAGGGUACACGACAAUAUUCAUUUCAGUGAUGCAUCACUCCCACAAACUAUUUACAGCGCUCAAAACCAUGGUUUAUAAAUCUAGACUUUAUUACAAACUUUUCAAACAAAGUUUACAAUAAAAGCCCCUCUAGGCGGUUCCUAGUCUAUGCCUACAGACUACACCGGGGCCUGCUGCUCCGGAUGCUCGCUUGUACGGGCCUCCAGUACCGUUGAAGAGGUCGGGGCCACCGGUGCCUCGCUGGUCGAGACUGUAGGCGCUGAUCGCCCAUCCUCCGCAACCGAUGCCUUCGACCACUCCCUGGUCGACCCUGGUUGACUAGGGGGAGUAGAUGUCCCGCAAAGGUUGAUGUCACCAAUCACUAUCGACGACAGGUCUAGCAGGCUGACACAAAGUUCAUCUGCCUCUUUCGGACCGACCUCCUUGGGGUACCCCCCUCCAAGCGGGACAGAUCGAAUAGGGGGUAGUGAGCACGUACCAUGCUAAGGACAUGGACUACAACAUACUCCUCAGUGUCCUUCACGAACUGCUAGAGCCAGCCCCAUGCUUGCUGUGCGUUCUCAACUGGAGUCUGCUUUUGCGCGCGGGGCUGGUCUUCACGAAGCUCCGGACUCAUCACAUCUAGCACCGGGUCCACUCCCUUCCAGAUCUUAAUGCAGUUCGUCUUCCACGAAUCUCGGUCUUUGACCAGGUUCUGGACAUGCUUCUUCAUAUUGGCCUUGAGCACUGCGACAAAUUUUAAGACAAGAGGACAAUCAAUAUCAAGCUACAACACUGCAAAAUUCACACUCGCCGCAUCAAAACCGAUCUUACCAGCCAGCUCCCGGUUCCUGGUCUUCAGCUCUUCUCCGACCUUUCGCUCGACCUCCAGCGCGUGAGCAUGCUCCUGGUCGAGCUGGUCCCUCUCCUUGCGGAGGCGCUCUACUUCCUCCUCCUAACCUGCAGCAGCAACUGUUCAUAAAAAAAACCGAACACAUUGUUAGUCACAACAUAAGGCAAUAACAACGCUUACCCUUUUUCUCAUGGUCCUUAUCGGCUAUCCGCUGAGUCAGGUCUAGCAACCGCUCCUCCUGAGCAGCCUUCUUGAUGCGUCACGUUGUCCCGAUCUUCACGACGUAGGAAGAACACCGAUAACUAGCUGAAAAACAGCCGUAUAACUUGCUGCAAGCAGCGAUAAGUAGUGCAAACUGGCAAAUAAAACUCGAAGCCAACCACCGUCUUUAAACGACAACCUGAAUCGAGGAUUUGCCCAACCACACUCUCAAGGAACCAACCAACACAGCCUACAAUCAAUCAAGGAAUACCUUGAAGGGAGUAGGAGCACCAAUUGGGAGCAGAUGAAGCCGCCGCCUAUGUAAUCCCACGAGAAAAUCACAAGAGCAAAGGGGUAGAGAUCACUCUCUGAAUUUGUUAGCACGCAGCUGAACAAAGGGGUUCUGUAUUUCAAUUAUCAGAAGUCUUAGAUUACAAUUAGUCUUAGGGGUUAUUUAUACUAGCAACAGCCCUGCUAGAUAGGUAUGAAUACAAAAUAGAGUUUCUGAGGGAAGGCAAUAUGAAACGUCCCCUCGAAAUGGAUUCGUGAAGUUGCUUCGCGUGACUGUUGGCCUCUAGAGCAGUUUUCCCAAUAAACUGAUCAUAACAUUUUAUUGGGAAGUCCAAAUGAUGAACCGUUUCUUGGGUGUGAAACUAGACUCAAAGGGCUUUCCAGCAAUAUGUGCCAACCAGCACGAAACAAUGUAGAUUGGUACAGUUUUACUUGGCAAGUUGUAGCAACAUUCUGUCAUGACAAACUAUUGACCUUCUGAGUAGUCUGUACUAAUUCUGGUUUACAGGCAAUAUGGUGUAUCUGAACUGGUCACCACUAGAUUCAUUGGAAAGUAGACUCGUCAAGCUUUCCAAUAAGUCCUCAGGGACCUUCAUAGCUUUUGUGAGUACCACGUUAUGAAGAUUUGUUUGCACUGGUCCGUUUUUUACUUCCACUGGUCUGUUUUUGACUACUUCUGGAACUUGCACUGGUACGUUCUCCAGGGUCCGAUUCAUCCUUCUCUUCUUCUAUAUACCUAAGAACAAUCAAGGUACAACACUUGUGUAGUAUACAAUUCUCAUUAAUGUUAAAAUGAAUCUCACAAAGUAGCGCGUGGACCUCUUGUUGUAGCUUCUUUGCACGACUACGUGUAAUCGGUCCAUCGAUGACUUGGGCUGGUGUCGGUGUAGGUGAAACUUGAGUGGGUGUAGCUUGACUUGGAGCUUGUGACAUCUUGCUUGGUGGCGUGGUCAUAUCAUCCUCCCCCCUUGAAAAGGAGUCGUCCUCGACUCUAAAGUGUCUGCACUUGUGAAUGGUGAGAGAUCAACAACAUUGAAGGAGUUGCUCACGCCAUAACAUGCUGGAAGAUUAAUCUUGUAUGCAUUGAAAUUGAUCUUCUCAAUAACACAAAAUGGACCAUCUCCUCGUGGCAGCAAUUUUGAUUUGCGCUGCUGAGGAAAGCAAUCCUUGCGCAAGUGUAUCCACACCAAGUCCUCGGGUUCAAAUAACACCUUCUUCCUAUGUUUGUUCAUACUUGCAGCCUUGCGUCCGGCCUUGAGUUCAAUUGCUUCCUUGGUCUUCUCGUGUACCUUCUUGAUGUAUGCAGCACGGUUGGGGGCUUCCAUAUUGGUUCUUUCCUGCAAUAGAAGGGGCAACAAAUCUAUCAGAGCAAUAGGUUUGAACCCAUAUACAAUUUCAAAAGGACAAAUAUUAGUGGUAGAGUGUACUUCCCUGUUAUAUGCAAACUCCACAUGUGGCAAGCAUUCCCCCCAAACCUUCAGGUUUUUUAACCAUUGUUCGCAGCAACAUUGACAAUGUGCGAUUCACUUUCUUAUAUUUCACAAUGUAUGAAAAUGUUUCGAUGAACUCAACCCAUUUGGCAUGACGAUGGUUCAGUUUUGCUUGUCCUUUCAUGUAUUUCAAAGCUUCAUGAUCAGAGUGAAUAAUAAUUUCUUUUGGCCAUAAGUAGUGCUGCCAUGUUUCAAGCACACGUACCAAAUCAUAUAACUCUUUAUCAUACACAGAAUAAUUUAGUUGAGCACCUCCUAGUUUUUCACUAAAAUAUGCUACAGGUUUUCCUUGUUGCAUAAAAAUUCCUCCUAUGCCAAUUAUGCUAGCAUCCCAUCCAACUUCAAAAGGUUUAGUGAAAUCAGGAAGAACAAGUAAUGGUGCUUCAUUUAAAUGUUUCUUUAGUUCUUGAAAAGCAUUUUCUUGUGAUUUUCCCCAUUUAAAGUCAACACCUUUCUUUGUAAGUUCAUUCAAAGGAGCAGCGAUGGUACUGAAAUCUCUCACAAACCUCCUAUAAAAACCAGCAAGGCCAUGAAAACUUCUUACUUGACUUACAUUCAUUGGAGUUGGCCAAUGCUUGAUGGCUUUCACCUUGCUUUCAUCCACUUCUAUGCCUUUUCCUGAAACAACAAAGCCAAGAAACACAACAUGGUCUGUGCAAAAGCUGCACUUCUCCAGAUUAGCAAAUAAUUUCUCCUUUCUAAUCACUUCCAGGACUUGCCGAAUAUGAUUCAAAUGUUCCUCAAAAGACUUACUGUAAAUUAAGAUAUCACCAAAGUAGACAACAACAAAUUUUCCAAUGAAAGCUCUCAAGAUAUGGUUCAUUAACCACAUGAAAGUACUAGGAGCAUUAGUCAAACCAAAAGGCAUAACUAACCAUUCAUACAGCGCAGAUUUUGUUUUAAAUGCAAUUUUCUGUUCAUCCCCUGUUUUCAUUCUUAUGUGAUGGUGGAACCACUUAAUUCAUCAAGCAUGUCAUCUAAACGUGGAAUAGGAUGGCGAUAGCGAACAGUGAUGUUAUUUAUAGCUCUACAAUCAACACACAUCCUUCAAGAACCAUCUUUCUUAGGCACUAAAAUUACAGGAAUAGCACAAGGACUUAAACUUUCACGAAUAAAACCGUUAUCAAGAAGUUCUUGCACUUGCCUUUGUAUCUUCUUUGUUUCUUUUGGAUUGGUUCGGUAUGGUGGUCGAUUAGGUAGUGCAGCCCCUGGAAUUAGAUCAAUUUGAUGCUCAAUCCCACGAAUUGGAGGUAGUCCAGCCGGUGUUUCUUCUGGAAAAACAUCUCCAUAGUCCUACAAAAGAUGAGACACAACACUAGGAAGAGAGGUCAUGUCAUUAGCUGAAAUUAAAAUGUCUUUGUACACAAGUACAAAGAGGACUUGUUCGGGGUUGUUCCUCACUUUUCUCAUUUAUGAUUUUGUGGCUAACAUGACUAAAUUCUCUCCCUCUCCUUUCUUUUUCUCCCUCAAAUUUGGCUUGUGGCACUCACUCACCAAAUUGUGGAUGGACUCAAUUUCUUUUGCCCUCCUUCCUCUCUACUCACUGGAACAAUUUCAGAUUUCUUUUGUAAAUGUUCAGCCAUGAUUUGUUGGGGUGUCAUAGGCUUGAGAACAAACUUCUUCCCCUUUAGAUUGAUAUUGAACUGAUUUGUUCUCCCACAAUGUUGGCUAUAUCGAUCAUAUUGCCAUGGCCUUCCAAGCAGCAAGUGACACACCGACAUAGGUGCCACAUCACACUCUACUGUGUCAACAUAUUCGCCAAUAUUGAAUGGAACGUUUACUUUAUAUCCAAUCUUGAUAUCUCCUGAAUCAUUCAGCCACUCUACAUGAUAUGGAUGAAGGUGUCGUAGCAGCUUCAGGCCAAGUUUAUCAGCCAUCGCAUGACUAGCAAGAUUAUGACAGCUCCCACCAUCAAUAAUCACCUUCACCACCUUAUCAUGCACCUUUGCUCUGGUUUGAAAUAAAUUAUGUCGCUACCUAUUUUCAGCUUCUUUCAUUUGAACACUCAAGAUUUGAGUCACCACAAGAGCUGCACCAUGCUCAAAUUCACACCCAGUAUGUUCCUCAUCUUUAUGGGCCCCAUCAACAUGUUCUUCCUCAGCUUCCUCUUCAGUAGUUGAUUCAAAUUCUCCACUAUCAUUCACAAUGACCACACGAUUAUUUGGACACUCUCUUGAUACAUGUCCAAGCACUAAAUUCCACUACUCUUGGAAGUGGAACCCACUGAAGUAGUGUUUGAUGCUGCUGGUUUUGAACAUGGGAUAACAUUGUUCUUUCCACUAAAAGUACCCUGAAAAUUAGAUCGUGAGCCUCGACUUGAGCCUUUCACCAUUGAUGGUUUAGCAGAAAACUUGGUGAUUGAUUUGCUUCCUCUAAAGAAGUUCCUCAUACCAAAGGACAAGGACUUGCUGCUCUUAGCAUCUUGCUGCAAUUGACGUUCAGCUUUGGUUGCUUGAUGUACCAAAUCAAUAAGAUGACGGUAUGGCUGAAACUCAACAAUGCGCUGAAUAUUGCGAUGUAACCCAGUCAUAAAAUGUGCAAAAUUUUGCUCUUCAUCUUCAUACACAUUGGCUCUAAUCAUAGAUUUCUCCAUCUCCUUAUAAUACUCUUCAACAGAGAGACUUCCUUGCUUCAAAUUCUGCAAUUUAUCAAAAAGAUCACGCCGAUAGUGCUUCGGCACAAAAUGACUUCUCAUUUCUCUCUUCAUUUCAUCCCAAGUUGCAAUAGGAUGUCUUCCAUAUUCUUCACGAUCACUGAGUUGCUGCUCCCACCAUGUCAAAGCAUAUCCUUCAAACUACAGAGAUGCCAUUGCCAGCUUCUUCUCUUCUGAAUAAUUAUGCAAGCGAAGGAUUUUAUCCACUUUCCGCUCCCAAGUGAAAUAAGCUUCAGGAUCAGACCCACCAUCAAACUUUGGCAUGGUAAACUUCAGAUUUCCUACCCUCUCCUCAUGAUUGCCUCUUCUACGAUGUCGGCGACCAUAUCAAUAUUGAGAAUGAUCAUCAUCAUCCUCGUUUUCAGAAUCUUCAUCAUCAUGAUUUCUUCGACCGUGACCUCUUCCCCUACCUCGGUUCCUCCUUCCUUGUUCCCUUGAGCUUCUACUAGCAGCACUUCUAUCACUCAUAUCUCCAUCUUCACCAUGGUUGCUUGCUCCAUCAUGAGGUUGGCGACGCCUUCUGAUUUUAGUCAUAAGGUUCUGAAGAUCUUGUGACAACCUAUAUUGCUUUUCUUCUAUGCUUUGUCAGAGUUCAUUAAAUUGUGCCAAAGUGACAGAAUCCUCUAUUCCAUCACUCAUCUUCCUGUAAGGUUAGCUGAAUACAAAUAAUUUGUAUUUAUGGAAUAUGAAAAAUUGGUGGCCCUCACAACUCACCUCUCUAACCACCAAAGCUCUUAUGAAUUCCUCUACUGCAGAUUACAAGGAAAACAAAUGUGUGGUGGCAACUGAAAGUGAUGGUGAGGCGAAUACAAGAAUAGAGAGUACCGAUUACGAUGGUUUUUAUAUGGAGCUUGGUGGCGAGUAAUGCACAAGGAAUGCAAUCUGAAUUCUAGUUGUUGUAAAGUUAGGUAACGAUCCAAACUAAAAGUUCUGUGCCUAGUGCUGACCACAAGAUAUGAAAAGAAGUAAAUGAUCACACACACACAGAAAAUUCAGAUUUGAUGCAAACAAGGAGUAUGAUUGGGAUGCAAGUGUUGCAAUCAGACCCAACAAAAAUAUUGCACCAAACAAAGAUAGCAAACUGGUUGCAGAACUUGAUAUGAAACUUUCAACACUUGUGCACAUAAACCAACUAAUCUUCAGACUUUCUCUCUGAACCUUUCUCAACUUUUUUUUCACUUCACUUUUUUUUGCACUUUCUUAUAUAUUUUUUUUGACACACUUUUUUAUAUAGAACUAAACAUGGGGAUCAGAUUAUGACACUUGCACAACUAAAGACAGAUAUAAAACAACAACCAGUAGCUAGAUGGGAUCAAAGUUAACACAAAGGAUGAUAUAGGCUAUAUAGAUUUUUUUGUGGGAUUUUAGAUGUAAAAGAGGCACAAAGAACACGCGAAGGAUAAAUGAUCAGCAACUAAAACAAAGAUUCUAAUGGACUGCGACUUAACCGAACUCACUAAAAUACAGAUUGAAACAAAGGUCUAAGCAAUAUAUUUUUCUAGCUUUUUGGUGGAUAGGACGAAGCAAAAAUAUAUAUGUAGCUAGGGAUAGAAUUCCUACCGUGGUAACGAAAGCUUUGAUACCAGAUGAUGCAUCACGUUGUCCCAAUCUUCAUGAUGUUGGAAGAACACCGAUAACUAGCUGAAAAACAGCCAGAUAACUUGCUACAAGCAGCGAUAACUAGUGCAACCUGGCAAAUAAAACUCGAAGCCGACCACCGUCUUUAACCGGCAACCAGAAUCGAGGAUUCACCCAACCACACUCUCGAGGAACCAACCAACAUAG